rnacentral:rRNA from 1 species
AGCGAACGCUGGCGGCAGGCCUAACACAUGCAAGUCGAACGAACUCUUCGGAGUUAGUGGCGGACGGGUGAGUAACACGUGGGAACGUGCCUUUUGGUUCGGAAUAACUCAGGGAAACUUGUGCUAAUACCGAAUGCGCCCUUCGGGGGAAAGAUUUAUCGCCAUUAGAGCGGCCCGCGUCUGAUUAGCUAGUUGGUGAGGUAACGGCUCACCAAGGCGACGAUCAGUAGCUGGUCUGAGAGGAUGACCAGCCACACUGGGACUGAGACACGGCCCAGACUCCUACGGGAAGCAGCAGUGGGGAAUCUUGCGCAAUGGGCGAAAGCCUGACGCAGCCAUGCCGCGUGAAUGAUGAAGGUCUUAGGAUUGUAAAAUUCUUUCACCGGGGACGAUAAUGACGGUACCCGGAGAAGAAGCCCCGGCUAACUUCGUG